rnacentral:lncRNA from 1 species
CAAUCUUUUAUAUAUAUACAUAUAUAUAUAUAUAUAUAUAUGAGUGAGGCUACUAUGCUAUCGGAAGCACGGAGCCUUUUGUGCUUCCAGCUUGUUUUCGAUGUUGCGAUUUUCGAAUCGUCGAUCGGCUCCGUUAAACUUGAUCUAGAGUAUUUGGAGUACCUAGAAAAUAAAUUUUAUUAUUUUUCGAUAUCAUUUGCCUAGUGAUCGAAUAGGCUCAAAAUCAACAAAUUUCAAUGGUCGUAGUGAGCCGUUUGCAAGUUUAACGGUGUAGAAAUAUCCAAAUCACGUGAAAUUUUGAUAGAAAAUUCUUUAUACUAUAUAAAACAAGAUCAAUAUCUUUGAUUUAAAAUUUUAAUGUC